rnacentral:rRNA from 1 species
UACGUAGGGUGCGAGCGUUAAUCGGAAUUACUGGGCGUAAAGCGUGCGCAGGCGGCUUUGCAAGACAGAUGUGAAAUCCCCGGGCUCAACCUGGGAACUGCAUUUGUGACUGCAUGGCUGGAGUGCGGCAGAGGGGGAUGGAAUUCCGCGUGUAGCAGUGAAAUGCGUAGAUAUGCGGAGGAACACCGAUGGCGAAGGCAAUCCCCUGGGCCUGCACUGACGCUCAUGCACGAAAGCGUGGGGAGCAAAC